rfam:Crassostrea gigas strain 05x7-T-G4-1.051#20 contig17937, whole genome shotgun sequence.
CGCCAGAUAGCUCAUUUGGUAGAGCACCUGAGUAGUGAUUCAGGGGGCCCUGGUUCGAAUCCCGGUCUGGUCC